CGACGCCCGCGCUCGACCGACACUCGAACCCAGAGCCAAGGAGAUAUUAAUCGGUAGAAGCACUUUAGAUGACAGUAUGACGAUGCUCGAUGGAUCUGCACAGAUCCAAUCUGUCAAGCGUUAGGUUUAGGUUUGAGGUUGAGACCUGUUGCAAAUUGGCGUGAAGAGAAGAUUUAAUGUUCAAGAAAAGGAUUAGAGAUUGAUUGGUUCUGUUGUAAAAGCUUUUUUACAUAGUUUUUUCGGUUACAAUGCUCUGUAUGGGAAUAGUUUUGUGCAACUAAUGUAUUUGAUAGAGAGUAUUCAGUGGGAAUAGUUUUGUGCAAUAAUUGGGCAUCUAUCAGAUGCUUUCACUAGCAAAUGAAAUACAUCCAGAUGAAAUACAUCCAGAUAAAGGAAUUUCAUAUGUGCUUUGGUUUUUUCCUUUACAUCUUACCUGGACAAUAU